AGCGUUGAAAAGCUUCUGGAUGAGGUGAGUGUAGGAGUGAAAGGCCAAUCAAACUUGGAGAUAGCUCGUACUCCCCGAAAGGCAUUUAGGUGCCGCGUGGGAAGGUCAGCGUGAGAGGUAGAGCGACCGAUAGGUCAAGAGGGCUUCACCGCCUAUCGAGACCUGACGAACUCCGAAUGCUCACGCUUAGUAUUCCUGCAGUAAGGGGGCGGGUGCUAAGGUCCGUCCCCGAGAGGAGAAGAAUCCGGACCGCCGUCUAAGGUCCCGAAGUUCUGUCUGAGUUAGUCUAACGAAGUGUGGUCCCUGAGACAGCCAGGAUGUUGGCUUGGAAGCAGCCAUUCAUUCAAAGAGUGCGUAACAGCUCACUGGUCGAGGGUCCGUGCAUGGAUAAUAAUCGGGUAUAAGACAGGCACCGAAGGCGCGGGAUAGCAAAUAAUAAAAGUAUCGGUAGGGGAGCAUUCCAUCGGCGUAGAAUGCAGUGGGUGACUACUGCUGGAGCCUAUGGAAAAGCAAAUGUAGGUAUAAGUAACGAUUAGGAGGGCGAGAACCCCUCCCGCCGAACGACUAAGGUUUCCCAGGCAAUGCCAUUCAUCCUGGGGUCAGUCGGGUCCUAAGGCUAAGCCGAGCGGCGAGGCCGAUGGCAGACACGGUCAACAUUCCGUGACUACCGCCAUCAGUGAUGUCCAGACGGAGCAGUGACACCUCCGCGCCCUGACGGAAUAGGGCGUUGAAGGGCGUAGGCUAUGAUGAUGCCAGGCAAAUCCGGCAUCAGAGCUGAAACCUGAAAGUACGGGGUCCCCUUCGGGGGAACCUGACAGCGAGGGUAAGCAUACUCCCGAGAAAAUGGGCUAAACUCAUGUUGGCGGUACCCGUACCGCAAACCGACACAGGUAGUUGGGUAGAACAUACUAAGGCGUUGAGAGAUUCAUGGCUAAGGAACUAGGCAAACUGACCCCGUAACUUCGGGAUAAGGGGUCCUCACCUCCGGGUGAGGCGCAGAGAAUAGGUCCAGGCAACUGUUUAACAAAAACACAGGGCUGUGCGAACUCGAAAGAUGAAGUAUACAGCCUGACACCUGCCCGGUGCCGGAAGGUUAAGAGGAGAUGUCACCGCAAGGGAAGCAUUGAAUUGAAGCCCCGGUAAACGGCGGCCGUAACUAUAACGGUCCUAAGGUAGCGAAAUUCCUUGUCGGGUAAGUUCCGACCUGCACGAAUGGUGUAAUGAUCCGGACGCUGUCUCGGCCAUGAGCUCAGUGAAAUUGUAGUAUCGGUGAAGAUGCCGAUUACCCGCGAUGGGACGAAAAGACCCCGUGAACCUUUACUACAGCUUAGCAUUGACCUUGGUCAUCCGAUGUGUAGGAUAGGCCGGAGGCUUCGAAGCGGCGUCGCCAGGCGUUGUGGAGCCAUCCUUGAAAUACGGCCCUUUGGCUGUCUGAGGUCUAACGCGGAUAGUCGCGGACACUGCUUGGUGGGUAGUUUGACUGGGGUGGUCGCCUCCAAAAGCGUAACGGAGGCUUCCAAAGGUGCCCUCGGGCCGUUUGGUAAGCGGCCUUCAAGAGUGCAAUGGCAAAAGGGCGCUUGACUGGGAGGGAGACAUCCCGAGCAGGCAGGAAACUGGGGCAUAGUGAUCCGGCGGAUGUGUAUGGAAACUCCGUCGCUCAAAGGAUAAAAGGUACUCCGGGGAUAACAGGCUGAUCCCCCCCAAGAGCUCAUAUCGACGGGGUGGUUUGGCACCUCGAUGUCGGCUCGUCACAUCCUGGGGCUGGAGAAGGUCCCA
rnacentral:rRNA from 1 species